CCUACGGGUGGCAGCAGUGAGGAAUAUUGGUCAAUGGGCGGGAGCCUGAACCAGCCAAGCCGCGUGAGGGAAGAAGGUACAGCGUAUCGUAAACCUCUUUUGUCAGGGAACAAAGGCGGGGACUAGUCCCCGGAUGAGGGUACCUGAAGAAAAAGCAUCGGCUAACUCCGUGCCAGCAGCCGCGGUAAUACGGAGGAUGCGAGCGUUAUCCGGAUUUAUUGGGGUUAAAGGGUGCGCAGGCGGCCUGUUAAGUCAGCGGGAAAAGCCCGGGGCUAAACCCCGGCGAGCCGUUGAAACUGGCGGGCUGGAGUUGGAGAGAGGUACGCGGAAUGCGUGGUGUAGCGGUGAAAUGCUUAGAUAUCGGGCAGAACCCCGAUUGCGAAGGCAGCGUACCGGCUCCACACUGACGCUGAGGCACGAAAGCGUGGGUAUCGAACAGGAUUAGAUACCCCUGUAGUC
rnacentral:rRNA from 1 species